GGGCCCCGAGCGGCGGCUUACCAUGCAGUCGAGCGGUAGCAGGGAGAAAGCUUGCUUUCUCCGCUGACGAGCGGCGGACGGGUGAGUAAUGUCUGGGGAUCUGCCUGAUGGAGGGGGAUAACUACUGGAAACGGUAGCUAAUACCGCAUAACGUCGCAAGACCAAAGUGGGGGACCUUCGGGCCUCGUGCCAUCAGAUGAACCCAGAUGGGAUUAGCUAGUAGGUGGGGUAAUGGCUCACCUAGGCGACGAUCCCUAGCUGGUCUGAGAGGAUGACCAGCCACACUGGAACUGAGACACGGUCCAGACUCCUACGGGAGGCAGCAGUGGGGAAUAUUGCACAAUGGGCGCAAGCCUGAUGCAGCCAUGCCGCGUGUAUGAAGAAGGCCUUCGGGUUGUAAAGUACUUUCAGUAGGGAGGAAGGUGUGAACGUUAAUAGCGCUCACAAUUGACGUUACCUACAGAAGAAGCACCGGCUAACUCCGUGCCAGCAGCCGCGGUAAUACGGAGGGUGCAAGCGUUAAUCGGAAUUACUGGGCGUAAAGCGCACGCAGGCGGUUUGUUAAGUUGGAUGUGAUAUCCCCGGGCUUAACCUGGGAACUGCAUCCAAGACUGGCAAGCUAGAGUCUCGUAGAGGGAGGUAGAAUUCCAUGUGUAGCGGUGAAAUGCGUAGAGAUCUGGAGGAAUACCGGGUGGCGAAGCGGUCUCUGGACGAGACUGACGCUCAGUGCGAAGCGUGGGGAGCAACCAGGAAUAGAUACCUGGUAGUCACGCUGUAACGAUGCGAUUGAGUGGCGUGAGGGUGCUCCGAGCUACGCGUUAAUCGACGCUG
rnacentral:rRNA from 1 species